rnacentral:rRNA from 1 species
UAGGGAAUCUUCGGCAAUGGGGGGAACCCUGACCGAGCAACGCCGCGUGAGUGAAGAAGGUUUUCGGAUCGUAAAGCUCUGUUGUUAAGGAAGAACGAGUGUGAGAAUGGAAAGUUCAUACUGUGACGGUACUUAACCAGAAAGGGACGGCUAACUACGUGCCAGCAGCCGCGGUAAUACGUAGGUCCCGAGCGUUGUCCGGAUUUAUUGGGCGUAAAGCGAGCGCAGGCGGUUAGAUAAGUCUGAAGUUAAAGGCAGUGGCUCAACCAUUGUAGGCUUUGGAAACUGUUUAACUUGAGUGCAGAAGGGGAGAGUGGAAUUCCAUGUGUAGCGGUGAAAUGCGUAGAUAUAUGGAGGAACACCGGUGGCGAAAGCGGCUCACUGGUCUGUAACUGACGCUGAGGCUCGAAAGCGUGGGGAGCGAACAGG